GACGAACGCUGGCGGCGUGCCUAACACAUGCAAGUAGAACGCUGAAGAGCGGCGCUUGCUGUUCUUGGAUGACUAACGGACGGGUGAGUCACGGGUGGGUAACCUGCCAUGUAGCGGGGGACAACGAUAAGAAAGGAUAACUAAUACCACAUGCCAAUGGUAGACCGAUGUUUGUUAUGUGAUAGCGGCAAAUGAUCAACUCCAGGACGGACAUCCGUUGUAUUAGCUAGUAGGUGAGGUAACGGCUCACCUAGGCGACGAUACAUAGGGGACCUGAGAGGGUGAUCGGCCACACUGGGACGGAGACAGGGCCCAGACGCCUACGGGAGGCAGCAGUAGGGAAUCGGCGGCAAUGGGGGCAACCCUGACCGAGCAACGCCGCGUGAGUGAAGAAGGUUUUCGGAUCGUAAAGCUCUGUUGUAAGUUAAGAACGAGUGUGAGAGUGGAAAGUGCACACUGUGACGGUAGCUUACCAGAAAGGGACGGCUAACUACGUG
rnacentral:rRNA from 1 species